GUGUGCAGCGGUCACGCAGCCCCAUAGCCACAGAGGGCCACCCACACUUGGUUGUUGUGGUCUCUGCUGCAAGGCUUGAGGUCCCGCCAGACAGACAGACAGACGGACGGACAGACAGACAGAGCCAGCAAUCCUCCCACGUCACCCCCGCCCCCCAGCCCGACCACGAGCCCCCCACGGGAACCACACCUGCCUGUCAGGGCCCAGGGCAAGCACAACACAGACCCUCCACGGCCGGAGGCAGUCUGACUCCCGCUGAGAAACACGGAGGUCAAGCCCCAGGGCUCCCCCUCUGCCCUCUCCUCACCAGGGGGAAUCUGACAACAGCCUUGUUAUUUAUGCAGCUUAAUGCGAUCCAGAGGCGGCUGCCCGCGCAGGCCCAGGGAAAGCGGUUCAGCCCCACAGAAACCGGUUUCACUUGCUGCGUGGUGAGCCUGACAUCCGGGAGAGAACCAGGAGGAGGGUUCCUGCGGCGGACGGCCCUCCUAUGGACGCCCUGAAAAAUGACUGCAGCUUCCUCCGGCCACUGGAGCCAGAGUCUGAAGAGGUGACCUUUACGGAGAGUCUGUUUACUCCAUCCUCAGCACAGGACCCUUGCGUGAGCUCUGGGAGGCUGCGCCGCGCCUUGGCGCUGACCCCAGGGGCUGCAUCCAGACCGCCGGCUUGGGAAAAACUGUGGGCGAGAGCGAGCAGGGCUGGCGAGGGGCUGCUCUGCGGGUGGGGGUGGGGGUCAGGCUCAGCCCCUUCCCACUGGGCGCUGGGGGCUCGCCUCUGGCCCGGAAACUCCAACACAAAGCGGGUCUGCAGCGACCACCCUCUCACACUCGUACCUUCUGGGGACUCGCUCCCCCAAGGCCGGCGUCAACCUCUGGCUUUUUAGACAAAACUGGAAGCGAUCAGCCUGGAUGGGGAUCCACACCACAAACUGGAUUGGAGUCAUGAUCCCCUGGACCACAGAGGGGGGACUGGCAAGAAGGUUAACCUGGAUGGCCCUCAGAACCCCCCAAAACAGAAUUGCCCACGAGUUUUAUAGCAGACAGGGAGACAAGAAUCUGAUUCCUCCACUGAGCUGCUUAAAUGUGAAAAUAAAGAAGCAUAUGUAACAGGAUCUGCCGGUUUU
ensembl:lncRNA